rnacentral:rRNA from 1 species
CAGCCGCCGCGGUAAUACGAGGGGGGCAAGCGUUGUUCGGAAUUAUUGGGCGUAAAGGGCGCGUAGGCGGUUUGGCAAGUUUGGUGUGAAAUCUUCGGGCUCAACUCGAAGUCUGCACCGAAAACUGCCGGGCUUGAGUAUGGGAGAGGUGAGUGGAAUUUCCGGUGUAGCGGUGAAAUGCGUAGAGAUCUGGAGGAAUACCGAUGGCGAAGGCAGCCAUCUGGCCUAAUACUGACGCUGAGGUACGAAAGCAUGGGGAGCAAACAGGAUUAGAUACCCCAGUAGUCCCUGUCUCUUAUAA